rnacentral:lncRNA from 1 species
GAUCCUUUAACUAAACAAUGGGUUCAGGCAGUUUUUAAAAAUAAUGCAAUUCAGGUCAAUAACCCUAAUAAUGAGCAACAAUUAGUAAACAACAAAGAAAAUGAAUUGGUAGAAGAUGAAGAAUUUGACAACCAAACAGAGGAAGUCUUACAAGAUGGUCAAAUUCCAGAUUUGAUGCAUAGUGAGGAUGAAAUGGGAG